UAAUCCCUAAUUAGCUAUACUAACAAAACUAACCCUAAUCCCCUCAUUUAUUUUUCCACUUUGCUAGAGUCACACUUCCCUCUCUCCGUCGGCACCUCUCUCCCCCGAUUCCCUUCCCAUAAUUCCCAGUCAACGCCUCUCUCCCCCCACUUCACUGGAGACAACCCUUGCCUCUCCCCAAUCGGCGUCGGCGACAUUUCCUUUGACUGGAACUCUCUUCAGGCUUUUCUUUUCCUUCACUUCAACUACUGUUGUCGACAUCUUUUGUUUUUCCACGAUUUUGAGUGCCCAUUUCUUGAAAAGAUCCUACUCGACCUUUUGCUACUCUUUCUCUGGCCCGUUGACUUAAUUUACUGUUCCAACUAUGGUUGAAUCUAUGUCAAUUUUGGGAAAUUCUGCACCAAUUGAAAAUGGUGUUAAUCAUGUUAAAUUGCUUCCUGCAUCUAAUGAUGAUCAUGAGGGUGUAAUAGUUGACAUGAAGGAGCCUAUGGAACCUGACGUAUUUCUCACCUUGCUCAGAGCUUCAUUAUCACUGUGGAGGCAACAGGCGAAGAGGGGAGUUUGGAUUAAGUUACCCAUUGAACUUGUAAAUCUUGUAGAAACUGCAGUUAAGGAAGGAUUUUGGUACCACCGUGCUGAGCCAAGUUACCUUAUGCUUGUUUACUGGAUUCCUGAAACUGCAAGUACAAUCCCUGCUAAUGCUUCACAUAGAGUAGGUAUUGGUGCUAUUGUCAUUAAUGACAAAAGAGAGGUAUUUUCUGCAACCUCUUUUGCAGUUUCCGCUUGCUCUUAUUCUGCUUUGCUUUUAUUUUAUGUCACUUAUCCUUAUUCUCUUUAAAACAAAUAUGUUAAUGUUCUUUACUUUCAUCAUUCCUCUAAUCCAAAAGCUGAGUUUUCUAUUGAUAUAAACAUAGGUCUCAGUUUAGUUCAUCCCUUUCCCCAUGUGUUUGCUGUCUAACUCUCACAUGUAUAUUGUUGAUCUGAAAAUGGGAAUCCUCUUGGCUGUUAACUUCUUGUUUUAGACUCACAUGCAUAUAUUGCUGGUCUUGAACGAGAAUCUUCUUGGUUGUUAGGUGCUUGUUGUCCAGGAGAAGAGUGGCAGAUUUCGAGGAACAGGGGUGUGAAAAAUUCCCACUAGAGUUGUUGAUGAGUACUUGAGUGGACUUAUAGCAUAAACUGUUCAUUUGUCUUCAGGAUAUGGGGCAUCUUCUGGCAAGCCCUCUGAGUUAAACACAUACUCUGACAUAGAGGCCGUGUACAAUUGUUUGAUGAAUGAAUAUGAAGUUAAGGAAGAGGAUUUGAUCUUGUAUGGCCAAUCUGUUGGAAGUGGACCUACCUUGCAUUUAGCUUCUCGUUUAGAGAAGUUGAGGGGAGUUGUUCUUCACAGCGCAAUCCUUUCAGGCAUACGCGUCUUGUGUCCUAUCAAGAUGACAUUUUGGUUUGACAUUUACAAGAAUAUUGACAAAAUACGGCAAGUCAAUUGCCCAGUUCUUGUUAUACAUUUUGCAGAAACUUGUAGAAGACCAAAAUCAGAUGAUAGCUCAAAUGCGUGAUGAACUACAGACAGCGAAGAUGGGACAGCAGUCUUCCUCAUUGAUGCCAUCAUCAUCUGAUAAUCCUCCAGCUCAUAGAUCUCUUGGUGAUUCACAUAUGGAUUAGCAUGAUGUCAUUACUCACUGACUUAAAUAAUAUAUUUUAUGAUAUGAACUUGAUACUAGUUGGAUCCAUUAUGUAUUUUGAGAUAUUUUAAGUUUCUUAGUGUUGAACUAUAGUAAUGUUUUGGACUUUUAGAUUGCAGAAUUAUGAAAUGAAGUUGAUGUGUAUAUAUUGUUUUUGA